GGCUCGGUAACUUAGUUAGUAAAGUACUUGACUAGCGUAAAAGAGGCGUGACUUCAAAUCUCACUUGAGCUG
rnacentral:tRNA from 1 species